rnacentral:rRNA from 1 species
GUGAGACAGUUCGGUCCCUAUCUGGUGUGGGCGUUGGAUGAUUGAUGGGAGCUGCUCCUAGUACGAGAGGACCGGAGUGGACGAACCGCUGGUGUUCGGGUUGUUUUGCCAAAGGCAUUGCCCGGUAGCUACGUUCGGAAUCGAUAACCGCUGAAAGCAUCUAAGCGGGAAGCCUGUUCCAAGAUGAGGUUUCUCACCC